rnacentral:rRNA from 1 species
UAGGGAAUCUUCGGCAAUGGACGGAAGUCUGACCGAGCAACGCCGCGUGAGUGAAGAAGGUUUUCGGAUCGUAAAGCUCUGUUGUUAGAGAAGAACGUUGGUAGGAGUGGAAAAUCUACCAAGUGACGGUAACUAACCAGAAAGGGACGGCUAACUACGUGCCAGCAGCCGCGGUAAUACGUAGGUCCCGAGCGUUGUCCGGAUUUAUUGGGCGUAAAGCGAGCGCAGGCGGUUCUUUAAGUCUGAAGUUAAAGGCAGUGGCUUAACCAUUGUACGCUUUGGAAACGGGAGGACUUGAAUGCAGAAGGAGUGAGUGUAAUUCCAUGUGUAGCAGUAAAAGGCGAAGAUAUAAGGAGGAACACCGGUGGCGAAAGCAACUCUCUGGUCUGUAGCUGACGCUGAGGCACGAAAGCGUGGGGAGCAAACAGG